UACGUAGGUGACAAGCGUUGUCCGGAUUUACUGGGCGUAAAGCGUGCGCAGGCGGCUUUGCAAGACAGAUGUGAAAUCCCCGGGCUUAACCUGGGAACUGCAUUUGUGACUGCAUGGCUCGAGUGCGGCAGAGGGGGAUGGAAUUCCGCGUGUAGCAGUGAAAUGCGUAGAUAUGCGGAGGAACACCGAUGGCGAAGGCAAUCCCCUGGGCCUGCACUGACGCUCAUGCACGAAAGCGUGGGGAGCAAACAGG
rnacentral:rRNA from 1 species